rnacentral:rRNA from 1 species
UACGGGGGGGGCAAGCGUUGUUCGGAAUUACUGGGCGUAAAGCGCCCGUAGGCGGCUUAACAAGUUGGAUGUGAAAGCUCCCGGCUUAACUGGGAGAGGUCAUUCAAAACUGUUAGGCUAGAGGAUGGAAGAGGAGAGCGGAAUUCCCGGUGUAGUGGUGGAAUGCGUAGAGAUCGGGAGGAACACCAGUGGCGAAAGCGGCUCUCUGGUUCACACCUGACGCUGAGGGGCGAAAGCGUGGGGAGCGAACAGG